UACGUAGGGUGCAAGCGUUAAUCGGAAUUACUGGGCGUAAAGCGUGCGCAGGCGGUUAUGCAAGACAGAUGUGAAAUCCCCGGGCUCAACCUGGGAACUGCAUUUGUGACUGCAUCGCUGGAGUGCGGCAGAGGGGGAUGGAAUUCCGUGUGUAGCAGUGAAAUGCGUAGAUAUGCGGAGGAACACCGAUGGCGAAGGCAAUCCCCUGGGCCUGCACUGACGCUCAUGCACGAAAGCGUGGGGAGCAAACAGG
rnacentral:rRNA from 1 species